AUACACACACACACACACACACACACACACACAUAUAUAUAUAUAUGUGUGUGUGUGUAUAUAUAUAUGUAUGUAUGUAU